UACAGAGGGUGCAAGCGUUAAUCGGAGUUACUGGGCGUAAAGGGCGCGUAGGUGGUUGUUUAAGUGAGAUGUGAAAGCCCUGGGCUUAACCUAGGAACUGCAUCUUAUACUGGGCAACUGGAGUACUGUAGAGGGUAGUGGAAUUUCCGGUGUAGCGGUGAAAUGCGUAGAGAUCGGAAGGAACACCAGUGGCGAAGGCGGGUCUCUGGGCCGAUACUGACGCUGAGGAGCGAAAGCGUGGGGAGCGAACAGG
rnacentral:rRNA from 1 species